rnacentral:tRNA from 1 species
AUUAUAUUUAAUACCCACUGGCUACGAACCAGGGGGUCGGAGGUUCGAAUCCUUCCGGGCGCGCCA